AUUGAACGCUGGCGGAAUGCUUUACACAUGCAAGUCGAACGGUAGAGGGGGCAACCCCUCGAGAGUGGCGAACGGGUGAGUAAUAUAUCGGAACGUGCCCAGUCGUGGGGGAUAACGUAGCGAAAGUUACGCUAAUACCGCAUACGAUCUAAGGAUGAAAGCGGGGGAUCGCAAGACCUCGCGCGAUUGGAGCGGCCGAUAUCAGAUUAGGUAGUUGGUGGGGUAAAGGCUCACCAAGCCAACGAUCUGUAGCUGGUCUGAGAGGACGACCAGCCACACUGGAACUGAGACACGGUCCAGACUCCUACGGGAGGCAGCAGUGGGGAAUUUUGGACAAUGGACGCAAGUCUGAUCCAGCCAUUCCGCGUGCAGGAUGAAGGCCCUCGGGUUGUAAACUGCUUUUGUACGGAACGAAAAGGUCUCUCUUAAUACGGGGGACUCAUGACGGUAUCUGAGGAAUAAGCAUCGGCUAACUCCGUGCCAGCCGCCGCCGUAA
rnacentral:rRNA from 1 species